UUCCGGUUGAUCCUGCCGGACCUGACUGCUAUCGGAUUGAUACUAAGCCAUGCGAGUCUUUGUAGUAAUACAAGGCAUACGGCUCAGUAACGCGUAGUCAACCUACCCUAUGGACAAGAAUAAUCUCGGGAAACUGAGCAUAAUUCUUGAUAGAUCAUAAUGCCUGGAAUGGUUUAUGGUUAAAAUGAUUCGUCGCCAUAGGAUGGGACUGCGGCCCAUCAGCUUGUUGGUGAGGUAAUGGCCCACCAAGGCGAUUACAGGUACGGGCUCUGAGAGGAGAAGCCCGGAGAUGGGUACUGAGACAAGGACCCAGGCCCUAUGGGGCGCAGCAGGCGAGAAAACUUUGCAAUGUGCGAAAGCACGACAAGGUUAGUCCGAGUGAUUUCUGCUAAAGAGAUCUUUUGCUAGUUAUAAAACCACUAGUGAAUAAGGGGUGGGCAAGUUCUGGUGUCAGCCGCCGCGGUAAAACCAGCACCUCAAGUGGUCAGGAUGAUUAUUGGGCCUAAAGCAUCCGUAGCCGGCUCUGUAAGUUUUCGGUUAAAUCUAUGCGCUCAACGUAUGGGCUGCCGAAAAUACUGCAGAGAUAGGGAGUGGGAGAGGUAGACGGUACUCGGUAGGAAGGGGUAAAAUCCUUUGAUCUAUCGAUGACCACCUGUGGCGAAGGCGGUCUACCAGAACACGUUCGACGGUGAGGGAUGAAAGCUGGGGGAGCAAACCGGAUUAGAUACCCGGGUAGUCCCAGCUGUAAACGAUGCAGACUCGAUGAUGCAUUGGCAUAUAGCCAGUGCAGUGUCGCAGGGAAGCCGUUAAGUCUGCCGCCUGGGAAGUACGUACGCAAGUAUGAACUUAAAGGAAUUGGCGGGGGAGCACCACAAGGGUGAAGCCUGCGGUUCAAUUGGAGUCAACGCCGGGA
rnacentral:rRNA from 1 species